UACGUAGGGGGCAAGCGUUGUCCGGAUUUAUUGGGCGUAAAGAGCGUGUAGGCGGUUUGGUAGGUCCGCUGUGAAAACUCGAGGCUCAACCUCGAGACGCCGGUGGAAACCAUCAGGCUAGAGUCCGGAAGAGGAGAGUGGAAUUCCUGGUGUAGCGGUGAAAUGCGCAGAUAUCAGGAAGAACACCCGUGGCUAAGGCGGCUCUCUAGUACGGUACUGACGCUGAGACGCGAAAGCGUGAGGAGCGAACAGG
rnacentral:rRNA from 1 species